UGACACCGGGCGGGAGAGUCCCGCGGGUGAGCACCGUACGCACGGUGUCACCGAACGGGCGCCGAAGGAGCAAGACUCCCCGCAAACUCUCAGGCAUCCGUACCGUCCGGUCGAG
rnacentral:ncRNA from 2 species